UUACGACCAUAUAACGUUGGACCAUCAGUUCUCGUACGUUCAACGAAGUUAAGCAACAUCGUGCCUGGUCAUUACCUAGAUGGGUGAGCACCUGGGAAUGUCAGGUGUUGAAAG